CCUACGGGAGGCAGCAGUGAGGAAUAUUGGUCAAUGGCCGCAAGCCUGAACCAGCCAAGCCGCGUGAAGGAUGACGGCCCUACGCGUUGUAAACUUCUUUUGUAAAGGGAUAAAAUCAGGCACGUGUGCCUUUCUGAAUGUACUUUAUGAAUAAGGAUCGGCUAACUCCGUGCCAGCAGCCGCGGUAAUACGGAGGAUCCGAGCGUUAUCCGGAUUUAUUGGGUUUAAAGGGUGCGUAGGCGGGCUGUUAAGUCAGUUGUGAAAGGUCGGGGCUCAACCGCGGAAUUGCCUUUGAUACUGGCAGCCUUGAGUACAGUUGAGGUAGGCGGAAUGCGUGGUGUAGCGGUGAAAUGCUUAGAUAUCACGCAGAACUCCGAUUGCGAAGGCAGCCUAC
rnacentral:rRNA from 1 species